UUGUAGAGUCUUAACAAUUUAUUUUUUAAUUUGCACAAAUUUAACUCUAAUUGUGUACUAAAACUGUAAUUUUCUACUUCUCCCAUUCCCUUAGACUUGAAGGGAAAGACCUAAUUCUAACAGUAUUCAUCAUCUGCUAAGUGAAGAGCUCUCGGGCCCUGAAUAACCAACAGAAAUACUCAGAAGGAGGCUUUCACCACAGUCACCACAGCUGGGAAUGUGCUGAGUCACACCUGAAGCAAGCGUGUCCCAGAGCCCAAGUCCCACAGAGUGCUACCUGGUGCCGGGUCACAUGCCACCCUAGUCCACUGGCUCUAACCCCAACCCAGCACCAUUAGUUGCCCAGUAAUUGCCGUCUUUGUGUCCUGGAUUGCCUUUCAAGUUUACUUAGGAUUCCAGAGCACUUUGUCCUGUGGUGAAGAGACCUGCCAAGAAACUCAGCUUCUGACCGCUGAGAUGGGUGAUUCGCCUCUGGCUAGGGUUAGUCAAAAUGUACUUUCUGUGCGUGCGUGCCUGCUGAGCCUAGCACAGGUUUUCUCUCUGCAGUGACAGGGUAGCCCUAAGUUGAAUGUAAAGUACCCUACUUGCUGCACUCUCCCUCCCACAAGGGUAGAUUCUCUCUUGCCAUGUGGCUACUGCCAGGGGUUGGGUAAAGGGUGACAUUGGCCAUUCAAGAGUGACUGCCUACUCUCUUCAGUGCCUCUUUCAGUGAUAUGAAGUAAAACCCAAGUACUGUGUGUGUUUACCUGGUGUUUAGUUUUUGUGAUAGUGUUUUUUGUGUGUAGUUAGUUGUUAAAAUUUGGUUUUCCUGCUUGUGGGGGAUGAAUGGUAUAGGCUUCUGCACAGCCAUCUUGCUCUGCCCUACAUAACUCUUAAUAUUCAGGUAUUUGCAAGCAUCUGGGUGAUCGAAAUUAUCACAACCUAUAAAAUAUGUUUGUGAUCAACAACAUUGAUGGAUAAACUCAUGCAAUAAUUUUCAUUUAAGGUUAAACUCAACAAUGUUUAGAUAAAUACUGACUGGAUGGUGGGCUAAACUGAUGAAUGUAUAGAUGGAUAAAUUGUUGCACAGAUAAAUGAGUAAAUAUUGUUUCAUUAUAUGUUGAGUAAGUUCAUUUUAUUGGUUAAAAUAAUGAUGAUACUAUGUUGUUCAGAUUGUGUAAUUAAUAUUAUUAUUAUAUUGAUUCUUUACCUAUAAUUGUUCAUUUAUAUAGUUUUAAACAAUUUGCAUUGUAAAUAAAUUUUCCAGGUAGUGAUAUUUAGCACUUUAAGCACUGUAGUAGUUUUCUAGACAGGGAGUUACCGAUUACCACAAACUCAGUGGCUUGAAACAAGAGCAAUUAAUUCUCUCAUAGUUCUGGAGGCCACAAACUCAAAGUCUGUGUCUCCAAGUUUGCACUCUCUCCCAAGGUUCUAGCUGAGAGUCCAUUCCAUGCUUAUUUCUCCUAGUUUCUAAUGGAUUCCCACAAUUCUUAGCAUUCCUUGGCUCACAGUCUCAUUAAAGUACUCCACUCUCUGCCUCCAUUUUUAUAUUGCCCUUUUCUCUAUGUAUAUGUUUCCUCUUUUUUUUAAUCCUGUAAAGAUACUUGUCACUGAGAUAAUCCAGGAUAAUCUCCUCAGUUCUAAAUGUUUAAUUUAAUAGGAUAUGCAAUGACCCCUUUUCCCAAAUAACUUAUCACUCACAAGUUCUAGGAAUUAAUAUGUGGGCAUAUCUUUUUGGUGGCCACCAUUCAACCCACUAGAGGCACUAAAAUAUUUUUAAGCAAGGCCAUUUGCCAAGACUGUUAUAUGACUGCCUUAUUUAAUACAGGACAGUUAACAUAAGAGAAGGCUGUCCUAAUGGCUCAAACCUGUUACCAUGUGGCCUAUAAAUACAGCAAAACACCAUGAGGUAUGUAGGGCCCUUUACUCCUACAGUGAAUGCUUAAGGACUAAGAUUGCUUCUUUAAUUCCUAUGUUUGAUUUUUGGAGUGUUUCUUUUUAAAAUUUUCAUCAGCUGUAAUUUCAUGAUUCUGCAUUAGCAUCUACUUUCCUUUCCCUAAUCUAAUACUUCUAAUUAUUCUGUAAUAACAAUGCCUGCUAAAAGUAUUUGUGAAACAGGAACCAAUCAGUUUAGAAUUAUUUAAAUAUUAUGAAAUAUGGAAAAACAAAAACUAAACAAAUUUUAACUAACGUAAAUACUACAUUUAGGUUCAGUAAGAUAAUUGUACAAGUUUGAUAUGAAGAUAGUUGGCUUGAUAACAACUCAUGUUUAAGGAAUAACUUUGAGUAUGACAACUCUACAGUGUAAUGUGGUUAUCCAGAAGCUAGCAAAAUACUUAAGAAUCUGGUAUUCUUGUUCCACUUCAUGUUAGUCAGAUAAAUUUGGAUGUCACAUUUAAUGACAGACUUAAAUAAAUUCAAGCAUCCAGAGAAAUGUGAUCAUAGUAAGGGGCUGAAAGCAGGCUUCAUAAAGAAUAUAUUAUAAUACCAAAGAUGAAUAUCCUGGGAAGUGAAAACUUUGAUGCUGGAGAAGGGGAGAGAAAAGCAUGUCUGCUGUUCUCAUAUAAAAAAUGGCUGUCAUGUGUGAGAGUGGAGGAAGCUGAUUCUUUAGAAGGAAGGAAUAGGAUCAAUAUCUGGAAGUUAGGUGGAGAUCGUUUUCAGCUUACAAUAUAAAACCAACACUUUUUAACAAUGGGACCGCAUUCUUAUAGAAGAAAGUUAUCUAUCACUGAAGAAGGUUUCAUUGAGAUUGGCUUUUAUUUACUUUAUGAAAUAGAUAGUAGUUUGAAGAAAGUUGCCUGUUAUGCAAAAAAAUACAUAUUUAAGGGGUACUAGGUCUGUAAGGAUUUUCAGUCGAUAGGAUAGCCUGUGAUCAAGGUGAAAUAUGUAUUUAAAUGCCAGGGGGAUAACUCUGACUGAGGCCAUGACCAUUGGCUUUCUAACUCUUCAAUGCAUGUGCCUCUUUCCCCACCUGCAUUUGUGUUUAUUUUCCCUUCUUCUUUCCUCUUUUCUUCUGUGUCUGUAUCUCUCUCUUUAGUCUAUGGCUUAAGUCAUCUGGGGCUUUCACUUUUAUCUUUAACCUUCAGGUCUAAAGAAGGCACUGAUAUCUGAAACAGAGAUUGUUCCUACCCUUACUGACCUGGUAACAUUUCUUUCACCAUUGGCUGUAUGACCUUAGGCAAUUUUCCAAACUCGCUUGAGUUUUAGUUGUCCCUUCCCUUCAGUAUAAAAUAAUCUAAACAAUACUUUUCCUCCUUUUUGUUGUUGUUUUGCUGUAUGUGUGUGUGUAUGUGUAUGUGUGUGUAAAACAUUAAAAUCAGCAUGUAAGGAUGUCUCAGUUUAGGCUGCUAUAACGAAAUAUUAUAGACUGUGUAACUUAAACAAUAGACAUUUCUUUCUCGCAGUUCUGGAGGCUAUGGUGUCCAAAAUCAAGGUGCAGUAGAUUCAGUUUGGUGAAGGCCCACUCCCUGGUUUGCAGACAGCUGUCUUCUUAUUGUAUUCUCGCAUGGCUGAGAAGGGAAAGCCCCUGGUGUCUUCCAUAUAUAUAUAUAUAUAUUCCCAUCAUGAUGGGGAACUACCCUCUUUACUUCAUCUAAAUCUAAUUAUCUCCCAAAGGCUUACCUCCAAAUAACAUCACAUUGGAAAUUCAAGUUUGAACAUAAGAAUUUUGAGGAAACAUUAACAGUAAGUCUAUAGCAAAAGGCAAGACAUUAUUAGUGAGCACAGCUUUCAGACAUGAGUAAAAGUUUUGGAAGUUUCAAAAUUAUUUGGAUGAGAAACCUUCCCCAAGUGUUUAUAUUUGUGUACGUGGGUAAAACAGUGAAUUUACCUUGCUCAUUCUUUCUAACGUUCCACAAGCUGUUUCCAUUGGAAAUGCAAGGUAGUUCGUUUUCUUUUUUCUGAGACAGAAAUAUUCUGGAGAAGCAAAUAAAGUAUCAUGUUGAGGGUGGAAAAACAAUCUAAUCCUUGGAAGGGUUGCCAACAUGUCUUUUUAGCUGCUUGAGAAUAUGUGGAUAGGUUUUCUGUCAGUUAACUUUUUUUUUUUUCUUUUGAGACAGAGUCUUGCUGGAGUGGAGUGGCAUGAUCUCAGCUCACUGCAACCUCUGCCUCCCAGAUUCAAACAAGUCUCCUGCUUCAGCUAUCUGAGUAGCUAGGUUUUCAUGCAUGUACCACCACGCCCCGCUAAUUUUUACAUUUUUAGUAGAGAUGGGGUUUCACCAUGUUGGUCAGGC